CCAGACUCCUACGGGAGGCAGCAGUGGGGAAUAUUGCACAAUGGGGGCAAGCCUGAUGCAGCCAUGCCGCGUGUAUGAAGAAGGCCUUCGGGUUGUAAAGCACUUUCAGUAAGGAGGAAGGUGUGUAAGUUAAUACCUUAAUCAUGUGACGUUACUUACAGAAGAAGCACCGGCUAACUCCGUGCCAGCAGCCGCGGUAAUACGGAGGGUGCGAGCGUUAAUCGGAAUUACUGGGCGUAAAGCGCAUGCAGGUGGUUUGUUAAGUCAGAUGUGAAAGCCCCGGGCUCAACCUAGGAAUUGCAUUUGAAACUGACAAACUAGAGUAUUGUAGAGGGGGGUAGAAUUUCAGGUGUAGCGGUGAAAUGCGUAGAGAUCUGAAGGAAUACCGGUGGCGAAGGCGGCCCCCUGGACAAAUACUGACACUCAGAUGCGAAAGCGUGGGGAGCAAACAGGAUUAGAUACCCUGGUAGUCCACGCCGUAAACGAUGUCUACUUGGAGGUUGUGACCUAGAGCCGUGGCUUUUGGAGCUAACGCGUUAAGUAGACCGCCUGGGGAGUACGGUCGCAAGAUUAAAACUCAAAUGAAUUGACGGGGGCCCGCACAAGCGGUGGAGCAUGUGGUUUAAUUCGAUGCAACGCGAAGAACCUUACCUACUCUUGACAUCCAGAGAA
rnacentral:rRNA from 1 species